AGCAGCCGCGGUAAUUCCAGCUCCAAUAGCGUAUAUUAAAGUUGUUGCAGUUAAAAAGCUCGUAGUUGAAUUUCGGGAUUAAUAUGUUGGUCGUGCCUUGGUACGUACUGGCAUUAUUGAUUCCUACCUUCUGAAGAACCUCGAUGUCAUUAAUUUGGUGUCUUGGGGAAUCAGGACCGUUACUUUGAAAAAAUUAGAGUGUUUAAAGCAGGCUCGCGCUUGAAUACAUUAGCAUGGAAUAAUGAAAUAGGACGUUUGAUUCUAUUUUGUUGGUUUCUAGGAUCGACGUAAUGAUUAAUAGGGAUAGUUGGGGGCAUUAGUAUUCAAUUGUCAGAGGUGAAAUUCUUGGAUUUAUUGAAGACUGACUACUGCGAAAGCAUUUGCCAAGGAUGUUUUCAUUAAUCAAGAACGAAAGUUAGGGGAUCGAAGACGAUCAGAUACCGUCGUAGUCUUAACCAUAAACUAUGCCGACUAGGGAUCGGAUGAUGUUAAUUUUUUAAUGACUCAUUCGGCGCCUUAC
rnacentral:ncRNA from 4 species